CGGUCCGAGGAGGCAGUGGCUGCCGAGACAGAAUGGAUGGAAGGAGUGGGUGUGAAAGGCUGGCAAGUUGAGGAGAAAACUGAAGCCCAGCAGAAGACUGAGGACUCACCUCUGAAUCGCCAGCUUCACCCAGCUUGGGCCAGGCAUGUGGGAGACCUCAAGGCAGGGGAAUAAAAAUGAACAAAGUUCUCUCCUUGACUCUGAGCUUUUCUGUAAGCCCCACU